ensembl:lncRNA
GCAGGACAGAGGCAGGACAGAGGCAGGACAGAUCUUCAUGAACAAGGCUACCGUGACCAAACUAAAGCUGGAGAAAACAAUAAGAGAGGCAGGACAGAGGCAGAACAGAGGCAGAACAGAGGCAGAACAGAGGCAGGACAGAGGCAGGACAGAGGCAGGACAGAGGCAGAACAGAGGCAGAACAGAGGCAGGACAGAGGCAGGACAGAGGCAGGACAGAGGCAGGACAGAGGCAGGACAGAGGCAGGACAGAGGCAGGACAGGAAUACUCCCCACCGCCCCGCUGCUGUGUGAGACUCAACCCAGAGGACCCCAGAGGUGACUAUACACAGAUCUACCCUCUCAUACCACUGACAGAAGAACAUGGAGAAGCAACCACAAUUAUCUUCAAGGGGACUCUGAUGAAGGAGUUGGAUGACACAACAGCAGCAGCAAGUGGCAUGAGAACAAUAUAAUUGGAUGAAAAAAAGAGGCACAGUUCCUGGAGGGAGUUUCCCCUCGAUAUCCCAACUAACUACUAAAGAAGCAAAAAAAAAGUACAAUGUGUCACCAUCCCAUGGCUGACCUAUUCAGAGAGCAAGAAAAAGGAGGACUAGACACUGCACUGAAGAAGGCCCCGGCUCCCACAGAUCGAGACAGGAAGUGGUGAUUCUACUCACAAAAUGAUGGCUGCUCAAAGUUGUUUUCGACAGGCUCACCACAACCACAGUCUGCCGCUCCCCCCAACAGUCACAUCAGUCACACCUGUGAACCUGGUGCUUGCAGGGUAUGUGCUUUUCACCACUCAGCAUUAAGGUGACCCACAGACAUGGACAGGAAGAGGAGGUUGGCCCGCCAUGGCACUUUGUGACUGGAACAACACUCAACGCUGGUCCUGUGGGCAGUUGGGGCACGUGAGUUCACAGUGAAUGAAAGAGGAAGAGGUUUCAAUAGGGGCAGAGGAAGAGGAAGCUUUGCUAAUGCACAUAUUGGUGUGUACUACCCGCCAUGGUAAUAAUAUGCUCCUCAGCCACAGUACCACUCACCUGGAGCUGGACAUGCUCCUCAACC